GACGAACGCUGGCGGCGUGCUUAACACAUGCAAGUCGAACGGAAAGGCCCUGCUUUUGUGGGGUGCUCGAGUGGCGAACGGGUGUGUAACACGUGAGUAACCUGCCCUUGACUUUGGUAUAACUUCAGGAAACUGGGGCUAAUACCGGAUAGGAGCUCCCGCCGCGUGGGGGGGUGGGGAAAGUUUCGGCGGUUGGGGAUGGACUCGCGGCUUAUCAGCUUGUUGGUGGGGUAGUGGCUUACCAAGGCUUUGACGGGUAGCCGGCCUGAGAGGGUGACCGGCCACAUUGGGACUGAGAUACGGCCCAGACUCCUACGGGAGGCAGCAGUGGGGAAUAUUGCACAAUGGGCGGAAGCCUGAUGCAGCAACGCCGCGUGCGGGAUGACGGCCUUCGGGUUGUAAACCGCUUUCGCCUGUGACGAAGCGUGAGUGACGGUAAUGGGUAAAGAAGCACCGGCUAACUACGUG
rnacentral:rRNA from 1 species